CCGUGUGUCCCCUGUCCCUUUGUCCCCUCACCCCGCGUCCGUGUGUCCCCUGUCCCUUUGUCCCCUCACCCCGCGUCCGUGUGUCCCCUGUCCCUCUGUCCCCUCACCCUGCGUCCGUUUGUCUCCUGUCCCUUUGUCCCCUCACCCCAUGUCCAUGUGUCCCGUGUCCCUUCAUCCCCUCACCCCGCAUCCGUGUGUCCCCUGUCCCUUUGUCCCCUCACCCUGCGUCCCUUUGUCCCCUGUCCCUUUGUCCCCUCACCCCGUGUCUGUUUGUCCCCUGUCCCCAGCGGCGCGAGAUGGCAGCGCUGAAGCAGCGGGUGCUGCGCAUCCAGGAGGAGCGGGCGCAGCGGGACACGCGCGGGUAGGGGACAACGAGGGGACAGCGAGGGGACAACGAGGGGACAACGAGGGGACAACGCGGGGACAACGCGGGGACAACGAGGGGACAGCGAGGGGACAACGAGGGGACACCGCCGUGGGGACACCGAGGGGACAACGCCGUGGGGACAGACGCCCUGAGGACGUGGGGACACCGCGGGGACACGGCUGCGUCCCGGUGGCAAUGGGGACAACGGGGGACACCGCUGGGAGGGACAAGUGGGGACAUGUGGCAUUGUCCCGGUGCCACCACCUUGGGGACAAGUGGGGACACGUGGCAUUGUUCCAGUGCCACCAUCCUUGGUGGCAACUGGGGAUGUGUGGCAUUGUCCCAGUGCCACCAUUAAGUGAUGGUUGGGGACAAUUGGGGACACAUGGCAUUGUCCCAGUGCCACCAUUGAGUGACAGUUGGGGACAACUGGGGACACGUGGCAUUGUCCCAGUGCCACCAAUGAGGGGGACAACUUGGGACGCGUGGCUUUGUCCCAGUGCCACCACCUCAGUGACAACUGGGGACAUGUGGCAUUGUCCCAGUGCCACCAAUGAGUGACAGUUGGUGACAAUUGGGGACGCGUGGCAUUGUCCCAAUGCCACCACCUUGGUGACAACUGGGGACACGUGGCAUUGUCCCAGUGCCACCAGUGGGUGACAAUUGGGGACGUAUAGCAUUGUGCCAGUGCCACCACCUUGGUGACAAUUGGGGACGCGUGGCAUUGUCCCAGUGCCACCACCUCGGUGACAUUUGGUGACAACUGGGGACGCGUGGCAUUGUCCCAGUGGCAGCUCUGACGUUGCGCAAUAAAUGGCAGCGGUGCGGUGACA
rnacentral:lncRNA from 1 species